rnacentral:rRNA from 1 species
AUAGCCCGGAGAUGGAUUCUGAGACACGAAUCCAGACCCUACGGGGUGCAGCAGGCGCGAAAACUUGGCAAUGCGAGCAAUCGUGACCAGGGAACUCCAAGUGGCUGGGGUAAGACCCAGUCUUUUCAGAACUCUUCAAAGGUUUUAGAAUAAGGGGUGGGUAAGGACGGUGCCAGCCGCCGCGGUAAUACCGGCGCCUCAAGUGGUAGUCGCUUUUAUUGGGCCUAAAACGUCCGUAGCCGGUUUGGUACAUUCGUGGGUAAAUCAACUCGCUCAACGAGUUGAAUUCUGCGAGGACGGCCAGACUUGGGACCGGGAGAGGUGUGGGGUACUCUCAGGGUAGGGGUAAAAUCCUGUCAUCCUGAGAGGACCACCUGUUGCGAAGGCGCCACACUAGAACGGAUCCGACGGUCAGGGACGAAGCCUAGGGGCACGAACCGGAUUAGAUACCCGGGUAGUCCUAGGUGUAAACGCUGUGGACUUGAUGUUGGAGGAGCUCCGAGCUCUUUCAGUGUCGAAGCGAAGGUGAUAAGUCCACUGCCUGGGAAGUACGGUCGCAAGGCUGAAACUUAAAGGAAUUGGCGGGGGAGCACCGCAACCUGAGGAUUGUGCGGUUUAAUUGGAUUCAACGCCGGAAAACUCACCAUAGCCGACGGACAAAUGAAGGUCAGUGUAAUGAACUUACCGGAUUGUUCGAGAGGUAGUGCAUGGCCGCCGUCAGUUCGUACCGUAAGGCGUUCUGUUAAGUCAGAUAACGAACGAGACCCUCAUCUCUAUUUGCCACCAGAUCUCCGGAUCUGACGGGACUAUAGAGAGACCGCUGGCGCUAAGUCAGAGGAAGGGGAGGGCAACGGUAGGUCAGUAUGCUCCGAAUGCUAUGGGCUACACGCGCAAUACAAAGGACGGGACAAUGGGCUGCUACUCCGAAAGGAAUGACGCUAUCCCGAAACCCGUUCGUAGUUCGGAUUGAGGGCUGUAACUCGCCCUCAUGAAGCUGGAUUAGGUAGUAAUCGCGUCUCAAUAAGGCGCGGUGAAUAUGCCCCUGCUCCUUGCACACACCGCCCGUCAAACCAUCUUAGUUGUGGGUGGGUGAGGCUACCUCUUAAUGUGGUAUUCGAGCCUGCCUUCGACAAGGAGGGUUAAGUCGU